ensembl:snRNA Rnu1-52 RNA, U1 small nuclear 52
CUACUGACCUGGCAGGGGAAAUACCAUGAUCAAGCAAAACACUUUUCCUGGGGCAGUCUCUCCAUAGAAUUCUGGGUGUACAAAACCCCAUAUUUAAUCCACAUAUGGGAAACUCAACUGCAUAAUUUGAGGUAGCAAGUGACUACAUUCAUAUUUUAUCCUG